rnacentral:rRNA from 1 species
ACUCAAAUGAAUUGACGGGGGCCCGCACAAGCGGUGGAUGAUGUGGUUUAAUUCGACGCUACGCGCAGAACCUUACCAACCCUUGACAUGGGACGUUUGAGCCUGAGAGAUCAGGUUCUUCACUUCGGUGGCGUCCACACAGGUGAUGCAUGGCUGUCGUCAGCUCGUGUCGUGAGAUGUUGGGUUAAGUCCCGCAACGAGCGCAACCCUUAUCUCUUGUUGCCAUCAGGUUAAGCUGGGCACUCUGGAGAAACUGCCGGUGAUAAGCUGGAGGAAGGUAGGGAUGACGUCAAGUCCUCAUGUCCCUUACGGGUUGGGCUACACACGUCAUACAAUGGUGGCUACAAUGGGCUGCAACCUCGCGAGAGGGAGCCAAUCUCAAAACGCCAUCUCAGUUCGGAUUGCACUCUGCAACUCGAGUGCAUGAAGUUGGAAUCGCUAGUAAUCGCGUAUCAGCAUGACGCGGUGAAUACGUUCCCGGGCCUUGUACACACCGCCCGU